CAAUAGCGUAUAUUAAAGUUGUUGCAGUUAAAAAGCUCGUAGUUGGACCUUGGACCUGGACAGGCGGUCCGCCUCACGGCGUGUACUGUCUUGCUGGGUCUUUCCUCUUGGUGAUCUGUUGUUUCGGCAGCAGGGAACCAGGACUUUUACUUUGAAAAAAUUAGAGUGUUCAAAGCAGGCUCGACGCCGGAAUAUAUUAGCAUGGAAUAAUAAAAUAGGACGUGCGGUUCUAUUUUGUUGGUUUUUGGAAUCGCCGUAAUGAUUAAUAGGGACAGUCGGGGGCAUUAGUACUCACAUGCUAGAGGUGAAAUUCUUGGAUUUUGUGAAGACUAACUUCUGCGAAAGCACUUGCCAAGGAUGUUUUCAUUAA
rnacentral:rRNA from 1 species